UCCGGUGUCGUCUAGUGGCUGGGAUACCUGGCUCUCGCCCAGGAGGCCCUGGGUUCGAUUCCCGGCACCGGAA